rnacentral:rRNA from 1 species
AUACGUAGGGUGCGAGCGUUAAUCGGAAUUACUGGGCGUAAAGCGUGCGCAGGCGGUUUUGUAAGACAGAUGUGAAAUCCCCGGGCUCAACCUGGGAACUGCAUUUGUGACUGCAAGGCUAGAGUAUGGCAGAGGGGGGUGGAAUUCCACGUGUAGCAGUGAAAUGCGUAGAGAUGUGGAGGAACACCGAUGGCGAAGGCAGCCCCCUGGGCCAAUACUGACGCUCAUGCACGAAAGCGUGGGGAGCAAACAGGAUUAGAUACCCUGGUAGUCCACGCCCUAAACGAUGUCAACUAGGUGUUGGUGGGGUUAAACCCAUUAGUACCGUAGCUAACGCGUGAAGUUGACCGCCUGGGGAGUACGGCCGCAAGGUUAAA